UUAAAAUGACAACUGCCAACCGGAGUGGGCGUGGUUACCGAACCUAACCAGAAUAAAAGUAAGGUUGCUCUGGUGACAAAUAAAUCUCCGAAGUUUGAGGAAAUAGUCACCGGUUUUUGAGGAAGUUGACAUAUAAGGACCGCCAACUUGCUAACCAAGGUAUCCCCAAAUGCAGCUUCUGGUCUGAUAACCCUCAGUGCCACAAAAUAUCUUUCAGGGAUCAGCUGAUUUGAUUUGAAUUUUUCUGGAAAGCUCGAAAAUAUGCCAAGAAACGCAUCAAAUUAAAAGGGAAGACAGCUCAGUUCAAAACGAAAUAUAUCUUCUUACUAAUCACCGAUUCAUAUGGGGUUUUCACAUAUUUUCUUUAAUCAAUAAUCUACAUUGUAGUAUUUCAUUAUUUUUAAUUUGCGCAUGAAAAAGAGGAUUACUUUUGGUAACUUUCGUUUUUCGCAAAAGAAUUGAUGAUAUGAUAUUUUUACAAAGCAGAUAUCCCCACAAAGCACUGAUAUAUUUCAAAAAUAUUCAUAAAAAAUCAUUACAAAAGAGGCAAAACUUCUGUGAAAAUUUGUAAAAUGACUCGCAAAGUACAUCCUUUCCACGAAAGCUGGAACAGAUCUUUUUCACAAUUUAAAAAUAUGUGUUGAAAAUAAUGACUCAUUGCAAACAUUUUUUAACUCUUUGGUUGUGUCGUUGAAUAACAAUUUUCGUUUAAAAAAAUUACAGUAAUAUUUGAGUUGCCUACUCACCUUAUCAUCUAUGUUACCCUGCUUCAACAACAAUUCUUCAACUCUCUUCAUUUCGACUUUUAAUUCAGGAGAGUCACGUUCAAGAAUGGCUUUUUUUAAUGCUUCUAGAACAUCCCUAUUGAAAGUAUGCGAUCCAACUUCAAUUGAGAGUACAGAUUUAAGCAC